AACGUUAACUGGGACUGACCACAUUCCUUCAAUCAAUGCUUUGAAUGAGGUUAGGAAUUGAUCUCUUUGUUUUCCACGCUCAAUACCAAACAGAAGAGAGCAAAUUAUGUUGAAUGUAAGCUUCUUCAUUAGGGGUAAUACCUAUCAGACAAAACAAAAAUAAAUAGUGGCCCCAUAUUCUUUUUCCAACUUUGGUUUGAUUUUAAUUAUCCCAUAAAAAGAUUUUGCUUAGCAUGUUUGUAUUAGUUUCUAUUUCCUCAUAAUCAAUUAUGUCAUCCAUAAACCACUCAAAGAAGCUUCUCCUCAAAAUUGAUUGUCUUUGGAAUCAAUUGUUUUUUUUUAUAGGCAAAUGUUAGUGGUUAGUUGUUAGUAAGUUAGAAAAUCCCAUCAAAUUUCCCUUCCAGGAUUCGAACCCUGGACCUUCCCCUUCCCAACCCUUAUGUCCCUAGCUCUUACCACUUGAGCUAACCAUCGGGAGACCUUUCGAAUCAAUUGUAAGAGACAUUAAUGUCCCAUUGUUUGAUUUGCUUCUUUUCCCUCUCCAAAUGGCACAAACAUUGGUAUAUGCAGAAUCAUAUGUAAGGCUAUAAAUCUAAUUUGNNNNNNNNNNNNNNNNNNNNNNNNNNNNNNNNNNNNNNNNNNNNNNNNNNNNNNNNNNNNNNNNNNNNNNNNNNNNNNNNNNNNNNNNNNNNNNNNNNNNUUUUUUUUUUAAGGGAAAAUUUCUAGGGGUUAGUUCUUUAGUAAGUUAGAAAAUCCCAUCAAAUUUCCCUUCCAGGAUUCGAACCCUGGACCUUCCCCUUCCCAACCCUUAUGUCCCUAGCUCUUACCACUUGAGCUAACCAUCGGGAGACCUUUCGAAUCAAUUGUAAGAGACAUUAAUGUCCCAUUGUUUGAUUUGCUUCUUUUCCCUCUCCAAAUGGCACAAACAUUGGUAUAUGCAGAAUCAUAUGUAAGGCUAUAAAUCUAAUUUGGAAUUUAUGUCACUCCAAUAACGUAACAACUCUGUCUAUAGUUAACAAUUUGGCUUAAUUGCAACUUUGGUCCCUGACGUUUACCAAUUCCACGAUUUUAGUCCCCCACCUAAUUUAAUUACAUGAAUGGUCCCUGACUUUGCUGGCUGUCUGCAACGUUGGUCCUGCCGUUUAUUUGUUAACAGAUGAGGCUUACGUAGAUGUCCAAUUGGAGAGAGAAAGAAGGACUGAAGAGAGAGGGAAGCAUGUGAGUUGCACGUGAGACCUGCAACAGUCAUUUUCUACCUUCUUCCUCCUGCAAAAACAGAGCACCGUGGGGAAGAUGUUUCGAAGCUUGAGAUUGAGCGAAAAGGGAAGAGAUAAAGAAUGAACGAGUCCCUAGAGGCGAGGAAGAAUGUUGAAUCAGUUGCUGGUCUCUUUCUCUCUCCAAUUCGACUUCCACAUCAGCUAAGUGACCAUCCACGUAAACCUCCUCCAUUAACAAAUAAACGGUAUGACCAACGUUGCAGACGGACAACAAAGUCAGGGACCAUCCGUGUAAUUAAAUUAGGUGGGGGACUAAAAUCGUGGAAUUGGUAAACGUCAAGGACCAAAGUUGCAAUUAAGCCUAACAAUUUCAUAACAACAUUCAUUUUACAUGAAAACUAUGGUUUUGUUGCUAACUUGAAAAACAACAUUUCGUUGCUUUUGAAGGGGAGUAAAUUGUUGCUUUUGAAGGGGAGUAAAUUCUGUUAGACAUAUAUUUACAAGUUCUGACUACAAUUAAUUUUAUAGUCAAUUCAAAAUCAUUUUUCCAAAAUCUAAUCCAAACAUACACUCACACUGUUUAGUGUGUAUUCAGAUUUUCGCUGAACUUAAUGUGAAUUCACGUUAAACUCAACGUGUUAAAAUCUUGGUUCUCCGAUCCACAUUUGAAAUACUUAAAAUUAGGUUUGCGUUUGUACCAAUGCUAAAACAAGCAUACACUUAGAGCAUGUUUGGAUGAACUUCUUUUUCCUCAAAAUCAAUUUUGGAAUCGAAAAGCUACUCAUAGAAGCUUCUCCCCAUAAUUGAUUUUGACUUCAGAAUCAAUUGUUGAAGGAUUUUAAAGCACGGAAUUAAUCUUACAUAUAUUAACAACAUACCUUGACCUGCUGUUUCCCUUGCCAAUAAAUCUCAAGGUGCCUCCUAACUUCUACAUCCAUUUUCUCUACAUAUCUCUUCAAGGAAUCUGGCUUCAAGAAUGAAACAAGUGCACCUCUGACUCUGCUGUGGUCUACCCCACUCAGUUCCAGCAAGCUCCUAUCACCCAAGAUCAUUUUGAUGGACUGUGUUUGCUGGUUAACAAUGGUGUCACCACCACUUGAGAACAUGAACUUGUUAGCAGCUUGUCCAUAGAUCAAAACUGUUGGUUUCCCAAAGAGGCUUAGCUUUGAAACAGGACCAUACUUCUUGAUUCUCUCUUCAACCCAGUUUUCCGCAGUGUUGGCUCGCAUAGCGCGAAGAAGGCCAAGGCUUUGACCAAUAAUUGGUAUUCCAAGUGAACCUGGAGGGACCCUUUCUGAUGAUUUGCUUCUUGUUCUAAGCAGAAGGAGAAUUGGGAUGAGUAAGAGGAAACUAACAAGAAAAACACUCAUGGCUCAGGAGUUUCUUUUCAGGUUCUGAGAAAAACAAUGAGUGGUGGUGAUUUAUGAAAUGAGUGUUGCUCUUAUAAGAGGAUUUGUCCUGUGCUUUGAUAUCUAAUUGGAGAGUCCAAAUGAAAACUGUUCUGAUAGCUGCCGGCUGAGUACAUUAUCUAAGAUUCUAUAAUCUAAAAAUAUUUAAUAUAAAACACCAUAUGGUUCUUUUAUCUGUUUCCCUUUGUUUGGUCCCCAAGACAGAUUUACUAGCUACUCAGUCACUAGGUAAUGGCAUUUCUAGUUUUGCAACUGUUUUGAUCCUCCAAGUUAAUAAAGUGAAGAACAUAAUUGAUUUUGAGAAAAACAAAAAUAUUUAUAGCAUAUCUGGAUUUACUUCUAAAUCUUCUAGAAUCAUCUUUUUCAUCGCCUACUCUUAUAGCAUGUUUAUGCAGUAUGAAGUCCCAUAAUCACUUCUGGAAAAAGCUACAAAGUGUAGCUUCUGGACUCAAUGUGUUUUAGAUUGUGCCACUACCAAUACAAACAUGUUAUUAGUAACUUUUUCCAAAGCCACUUUUGCCCGAACUUAAUUUACUGAAUUACCAAACAGUUAAUUUCUUAUUUCUCCAAUAAAAAUUGAUUUCUCUGCAAUUUUAAACAUAUUUGUAUAUUUCCAAUUUGAAAUUGAUAUUUUAUUUAAACUAUUGAUUUUUCAAAAUUUACGUUUAGAAAUUAGAAUAUUAGUUAUAAACAUUAACUAGUUCCUUCUAAUAUUACUUUUUUCCCCCGAAAGUCAAUUUUAGCUCACAUGUCUGAUUUCAAUUUUCUGUCAUAUCCUAGUUUUGUCAUUAUGUUAAGAUUUAUUCAAAAGAUGGCAAAUAAGGGAGAUUAUUCUCAUGUUGAGUGACUUGAUGCCUUUUUGUCGCAUUAGUGUAUCAGUUAAGGAAAGGCUUUCUUCUGCCUUAGCUAUUCUGUUGUUAGCUGUGUCCACUUUGUUAUAUUUGAUUGUCCACAAAAAAGACAGCAUAAGAUUCACAAAUUACAAUUAGUGUGCUAAGAAUAUGGGUCCAAAUUCCAAUUUAAUAAGACAUAUGAAUUUCAACCAAAUAAUAAGAGUAUUGAAAAUAGUGUGUUAUGAGUGUUGCUAGCACUCCUCAAGAAUUUAAUAUCAAGAGGAAUCAAACGUUGACCACAAAUAAGUUGAUGGAAUUUGUUGGAGAGACUGAUCCAACAGAACUCCAGAUGCUUUCCUCACCUCAAUAUCCUCAAGACCUGCUUCCUCUGCUGUCAAAGCAGGUGUCAUGGACCAUCAUCAACUCCCUCCACAGCGCAGUGGAUAUUCUCCCACUGUAUAUGGGUGCUGCUUCUUCCCCAAAUCAAUUCAUCGAGUGGAAAGGUGCUUGCUUCUAACAGAACCAAGCUUGGAUGGAAUUUCACAACAAAACCAGCAUUUUAUGGUAAGUCUUGCUGUGAUGAACUUUUGUUUACUAAGUAAACUAAUCAGUGAAGAUCAAGUAAACUUGGUUUGUUGCAGUUAUGCUCUUAAAGAUUGUCUAGAGUCUAGACUUGCAAAUCAUCCCCAAACUGAAUGGCAUUAGGCGUAAAUAGAAAUUUGUCGUGUUCAAGUUUCAUCUCACUUGAGGGGUAAUCCUUGCAUACAUUGUGCUCUUGUGCAUAAGUUAUUGUUGCAUUAUUGGACUAACAUUACUAUCAAUAUCAUGUGCAUUAUAGUCAUCAAGUAGUUAUUCCGGAUAUUAGUUCUUCACUUCAUUCAUUCUGGUUGUGAAGUUUCUGGGAAGCAACAGCAGUAAUAAUAAUACACAAUCUAGUAUGUCUCAGUCUUAUAGCAUGUUCGGAUUGACUUCUCUUCACCAGAAUCAAUUGUGACCAGAAGCUACUCAUAGGAGCUUCUCUGCAGAAUUGAUUAAGCCUUCAUAAUCAAUUGUAGAAGGAUUUUCGAACAUGUUUUUCAGAUAGGAAAAAUAGCAAUGUAUUAGGAAACAGAUUACAAUAUGCCAUACAUUAGGUUCAUAAAAUUUUAAACGACUACAUUCCUCAUUAAAGCGAAACAAAUCAUGGCAAAAACGAUUUUGCUAUUUUUCCUAUUUUCGAAUAUGUUUUUACUCUCGUUAUUAAGCAUAACACAUGAUAGGGGCAGACUCUGGAUAUGAUUGAAAAAGUCUAUAAUGGAAAAGCCUAGUGUAUGUUAAGAUUUUCGAGAAAAACUGCUUUCCCCUAAAAGGUCUCAUAAUAAGAUUUUAAUUUAUUGUGAAGUUGGAACACAAAGUAUACUUAUAAGUACACUAAUCUUUCAACAUAGACUUAAUUUUGGUACAUUUAUUAGAAGACUAGGAGUUCAUGAAACAAUUAUGAUACAUAAACCAUCAGCAGUACAAACACUCAUAAAACGCCUUAUUUUUCUAUGUAUCUCUCACUUCUUAUUAAAUCACAUCACAUAUCACAUUCAUUACUCCUCUAUUCUCUUUCUUUCACUCUCUGGUCUCAACACCUUGGUGGUUUACCAACAUUUUCCAUCAUUAAAUGGCAUCUAAGAACUUUUCCUGGGCCAAAUUUCAAUUGGCAAUCCUUGAGUGGGUACUGGCAUUGGAUCCCUUUUGAAGAAAUUAUCUGAGGAUAGUUUCCAACUGAACCGGGUCACGAGGUAAUGAAUUGUCACGAGAGUUUCAAUCCUGGAAAGCUCAUACCCUGGACAUAUUCUUGCUCCCCCACCAAAUGGUAUGAAGUUGUAGGGUGGGAUGGAUGCUUGGUUUUCAAAUCUACUUGGAUCAAACUUUGAUGGUUCUGGGAAAAUGCUGUUGUCCAUGUGGGUCAAUGCUGUAACCCAGAAAAUCUAGAAAAAUAAAGGUUUUAAUCAGUAACAUGAUUGCAUGUUGAGAAACGUUCAUCGAAUUUGGAUUUUCUGCAGUUGAAUUUUCCUAAAUUCACUGCAGUCUUGGCUCCAUAAUUGCCAGGUCAAGAUCACACAACUUAGAUAUACAAAGAAUGAUUAUACAUUUGAAAUUGGAUUUUAAAUCUGAACUGUCCGAUCUUGAUCAGACAAUUAUGAAGCAGCGAAUGUGGUGAAUUUCAAAAAAUCUAACUGCAGCUAAGCCAGACAAGACAAGUUCAUCAAUGCCUUGCACCAAAGUUUCACUUACCUGCCACCCUUUGGGUAUAAAGUAACCACCAUAUUCAAUAUCUGUUGCAGCUUUUCUGAAGCCACCAAAUACUGGAGGAACCAUCCUAAGAGUUUCUUGUGCUACUCUCCAGGUGUACUUCAUCUUUGAAAGGUCUUCCCAUGUGAGUGGUUCUCCUCCUGAGGGCUUGCCUUUUGCUAUCUCUUCCUGUUCUGCAACAACAUAACAAGAAGAAUCACUAGAAGUAUCUUCAGUAACCAAGUCAAUUAUUUCUAAUUUUAUGCAUAUCGCAAACACACACACACGUUGAGGAGUCCGGCGGAGCCCAAAGCAGAAGAACCUGCAUUAAUGACCAACACUGAAGACUAUCCAGAGUAAGAGACACCAUAUCUUUACCCAUUCUUAAUCUCCAGUCAUCACACUUGUAUUACGAGCAACAUACACAUCAACACACAGCACACACAUUCUUCUAUGCAUACCUUGAAGAACUGCUGCACAAAUAUCUGGUUCAUUAGCUAAGAGUCUGACAAUGAAAGUGAUUAGAAUAGAUGAAGUGUCAUGUCCAGCCACCAUGACAAGCAUACAAUUUUGAAUGAUUUCCUUCUCAGUUAUAACUUGUUUUCCAUCUUCGUCAUACAUGCCAAGCAAGCAGCUGAUUAAGUCUUGGUGGGCAGAGGCUCCAUUUUUCUCCUGUUCAAUCUUCUUCAUGUGCACAAUAUCCUUCAACAUGUUCUGGAUCCUUGCACUUUCUCUGAGGCUGCUGUUGUAGCGAGUGAAAGGAACGUUAACUGGGACUGACCACAUUCCUUCAAUCAAUGCUUUGAAUGAGGUUAGGAAUUGAUCUCUUUGUUUUCCACGCUCAAUACCAAACAGAAGAGAGCAAAUUAUGUUGAAUGUAAGCUUCUUCAUUAGGGGUAAUACCUAUCAGACAAAACAAAAAUAAAUAGUGGCCCCAUAUUCUUUUUCCAACUUUGGUUUGAUUUUAAUUAUCCCAUAAAAAGAUUUUGCUUAGCAUGUUUGUAUUAGUUUCUAUUUCCUCAUAAUCAAUUAUGUCAUCCAUAAACCACUCAAAGAAGCUUCUCCUCAAAAUUGAUUGUCUUUGGAAUCAAUUGUUUUUUUUUAUAGGCAAAU
rnacentral:lncRNA from 1 species